GCACGAAGUUGGAAUUGCUAGUAAUCGUGGAUCAGCAUGCCACGGUGAAUACGUUCCCGGGUCUUGUACACACCGCCCGUCACACCAUGGGAGUCGGUAACACCCGAAGUCAGUAGUCUAACCGCAAGGAGGACGCUGCCGAAGGUGGGAUUGACGACUGGGGUGAAGUCGUAACAAGGUACC
rnacentral:rRNA from 1 species